GAUCCUGGCUCAGGAUGAACGCUGGCGGCGUGCUUAACACAUGCAAGUCGAGCGAAGCAAUUUAAGUGAAGUUUUCGGAUGGAUCUUAGAUUGACUGAGCGGCGGACGGGUGAGUAACGCGUGGAUAACCUGCCUCACACAGGGGGAUAACAGUUAGAAAUGACUGCUAAUACCGCAUAAGCGCACAGUACCGCAUGGUAUAGUGUGAAAAAACUCCGGUGGU
rnacentral:rRNA from 1 species